AGAAUCAACGCUGGCGGCGUGCCUAACACAUGCAAGUCGAACGAGAAAGUGGAGCAAUCCAUGAGUAAAGUGGCGCACGGGUGAGUAACACGUGACUAACCUACCCUUGAGUGGGGGAUAACCUAGGGAACCUGGGCUAAUACCGCAUAAUACCUUCGGGUCAAAGGAGCAAUUCGCUUUAGGAGGGGUCGCGGCCGAUUAGUUAGUUGGCGGGGUAAUGGCCCACCAAGGCUGUGAUCGGUAU
rnacentral:rRNA from 1 species